rnacentral:lncRNA from 1 species
CCUUCUUUUGGCGCGAAGGGGUUAAUUAUGUGCUCCAAGCCCACACUAUGUCAUUCAUCAUUUUUAAGUUUAUCCAUUUACUUAUUUCAUGAUGGAACACACUCUCAAGAUAUACAAAACUAGUACUGGGUAUCCAACACUAGUUGUUGCUGAAUUCAAAUUUGACUACUUAAACACCCCAAGUGAGUUGAACAACAGAGAAUCAGGUGGCUAGAGUCUACUGAUCCAGCCAUUAGAAGCCAUUACAGUCACGGCACCAUGCUUUAACACAGAUGUUGGCACAUGACCAAAGACAGACUUCUCAACUUACUCCAUCAUGAGCAGCAUGCCAUGUAUAAAGUUUUACAGCAUUUCUGCAGAGUUGACCGAGCCCAUAAAGUGUUCAGGUACAGGCACAGUGGGUGAUGAGUAUACAAGAAUAGGCUGCCCCUCCCAAGACAUGCUGGCACUAAAUGAAGGCAUGAUUCAGACAAAGUUGUGGAAAUGGCCGGGGGACACUGAGUUUAAAGAUGGGAUCCAGAAACAUGGAAUAAUUGGUCACCAUGGGAGGAAAGUAAAGGGAAAAGUGAAGGUAUCUGUUGGGCAGUUUUGUAACCGUGUCCUUUUCCAAGUCUGACAAGCACAUGUGUACUGAAAAAUUACCUGUACAGUGGAAGUUUCAUGUGCAAAACUGGACAGUGCAGGUUGGAAUACUGAAACUUAGAUAUCUGGGUAGAAAGCCAAAUACCUUGAUCACAACACACGGUACGAGUGUAAAAAAAGGAGAGUACUGUACAAGAUAGUGUCUGCUCAUUGCAAUCAGACUGGCCACAUCCCCAUGACAGCACACUGUUGUCUGAAGCUGAAGUGUCCACAUUUAGUACGCAAUCUUUUGCAUAUGAGCAGACACUGUCUUGUAUAAGAUGCUAACUGGCACGAAAGCAGUGCAUUCAGACAUCCUCCAAAGAUUUGCAAAAGGAGUUGGAGACUGACUUGAUGAGGAUUCCAUUCACAAUCCCUGGCAUAAAUGCGAAGUUCUUGUAUGUAUGUGUCCAAUCUGGGAAUAUUCAUACCCUUUUUAAUGAGUAUAAUCAACAGCCCUGGCCUCAUUCCUACCACAGUAUGUAGUACCUUGCAUUUCAGUAAACCUUUGAGACUUGGAAAAGGACUCAACAACACCACUGCUGGUUAGAUAAUUGGAUUGGUACAAAUUGUGAGAGCCCAGUGUCAAGAAUGACUGUUGAUCGAAUUCUCGAAAAAUUUGAUUAAUUUCAAGCAAAUGAGAAGCAUGUAUAACUAAUAUUUGUACAAGUCUUGUUGAAUUGUUUACUUCUUUAAUGUAGCACAGUUUUGUAUUUGUUUUCUGAAGAAAAGUGUUUACAUAUCAAGAAUUAAGCUCUGGAUUUCAAAUAGCAGAAAGUUUUCACUCAGACACAAAGUAGGUUGGUUUUAAAAUCUUGAUGCAAAGUGAACAUAGCAUCAGCAAAUAUAAAUUUGCAGAAAAAUUUGCCAGGAUUAAAAUGUGUGAAACUUUUGCAGCUGUGCGACAUGAUUCAUUGCUAUUUCCUCACCACUUUUAACAUUUUUUUGUUAGUUUUUGACAUUCACAUGACUUCACACAUGAGCUAUUUCUUGGCCACGCAGAGAUUUUAAAAUUCAAUUUCUCACAUCCAUGCACUUUACAUCCUACAAAAGCAGCCACUGACUUGGAAAUAUGCACUGUCUGCAAAAUUUUGGUAAUUUGUCCUUUUUUUUCUUGACAAGGGGCUUAAUGUUGUACAAUGAAGACCAAGGGUGUGAAAUUAAAGUGUAGUCAUGAACAUCACAAGUCAAGUCAAAAACCAAAUAUCAAAAGUCUGGCUACAAUUGAGCUCAAGAUAAACAAAUCAACUGAGACAGAUAACACUGAAUUUGAAGAGCUUGUGGUUUGAGGCUGCAUGACUUCUGACUGACUUGUGAUGGACUUGUCAGGGUUUGACUAUAAU